rnacentral:rRNA from 1 species
AGUGAACGCUGGCGGUAGGCCUAACACAUGCAAGUCGAACGGCAGCACAGGAGAUCUUUCUCUCUGGGUGGCGAGUGGCGGGCGGGUGAGGCAUACAUCGGAAUCUGCCCAGUCGUGGGGGAGAACGUAGGGAAACUUACGCUAAUACCGCAUACGACCUUCGGGUGGAAGAGGGGGAUCGCAAUACGUCGCGGGAUGGGAUGGCGCGAUGUCGGAUUAGCGAGUGGGGGGGGUCGUGGCCCACCAAGGCGGGGAGGCGUAGCUGGGCGGCGAUGAUGAUCCGCCACACGAGAACUGAGACACGGUCUAGACUCCUACGGGAGGCAGCAGUGGGGAAUAUUGGACAAUGGGCGAAAGCCUGAUCCAGCCAUACCGCGUGGGUGAAGAAGGCCUUCGGGUUGUAAAGCCCUUUUGUUGGGAAAGAAAUCUUUCAGGCUAAUACCGUGGGAGGAUGACGGUACCCAAAGAAUAAGCACCGGCUAACUUCGUG